GGGCCAUUGUCACGGAUGACAAUCAAGAAGCUCCAUCCUUUGUGAACGAACCCGUGGAUUCAUGAAAAUCUGCGGGUAAUUCCGAAGGUACUUCGUCGGCACAGUCUCCUCCUCCCGCUGUCUCCCCGAAAGGCAAAAGGAAAAGAAAUGAUGUCGAAUACUCCGGCACUUCCAAAGCCGAAGAAGUUGAUCCUUCACACCAGAAGGCAACUUACGAUCCUUAUCUUGAAUCCCUCGUCAGCUCUGAUGACGAGGAAGAAGUACGAACUGUCGACGUGGCUCCCCGUACGAGCACGUCACAUACUGUGCUUGCUUCGGACACAUUAGUUGAAGGAGAAGAAUCUUCGCCUCCUCAACGAAACGUCGUCACCACUACUUCGCCAUCAAGCCCCCUUGCGCCUUCACCAAAAAGGACAAGAAUUGAAAGUAUUGUUGAGCCUGCCCCUCAGUUAGGCGGCUCUUCUACUUUGCUCUUGGAUGACCCCAUGAUCAAAGAGCUUAUUCGCAUCGGAUCCCAAUUCAUUGGGUACCGUGAGUAUGCCAACAGAGCUGAAGAGAAACUUGCAGAGGCCAACAAACGUGCCAACGCACUUGCUCAAAAACUGGAGCAAAGUGAAGCGGCCCGCAAGAAAGCCGAACUUGUUGCUAGCGAAGCCAAGGCAGAGGCUGAUGAAGCCAAAGCGAAGACUGCUCGUGUCGAGGAUCUGCAGAAAAGACUUGAGGAUGCUGAAACUGCUUUAAACGAGCACAAAGCUGCACAGGCUGAUCGUGAGCAGGGGAUCCUCAAGCGCCUGAAAUCACAAAGUCGACGUACUCAAAGUAAUAUUAUUGAUCCCUUCUAUUUUUAUGCUACCCGCUGUUUCUUGUU